rnacentral:lncRNA from 1 species
AUAUAUUUCAGUUUGGAAAAUUUUUUUUGAAAUUAUUGUCAAAUCUGUUUGUUAUAUAUGUUAUAAUUCUAUAUUCCUCUUUGCUACCUUAGAAUAUACCUUUUACUAAGUAUUAUCUAACUAAUAUCUUCCCAAAUCUUCAAAGAUUUUAAUCGACUAUCUACAACUAUAAAUAACCCUCUUCGUUUUACCAUUAUACUCACCAAAAUCGGCUCUUUCUCUUUUCUUUUAACCUGCAAAAAACAAAAAAAACACAACAAUGGCUCAGCUUACUCGAUACACACCAAUCAACAACUUGAAGCCUUUAAAAACGGCUUGGAGAAUUCAAGUUAGAAUACUUCAUUCCUGGAUUCAUUUCACAAAAGGUUCUGGCAUGUCGUUAGAAAUGAUUCUAGCUGAUAAGGAUGUAAGUGCUAUUCAAACAUUUUUCAUUUAUCAUUGUAAUAUAUAUGAGUUACGUUAUAACUCAUCUUAUUUCUUUUACAGGGUAACAAAAUUCAAGCAGGCAUCAAAAAGGAACACAUCAGCAAAUUCCAGCGUUAUGUGAAGAAAGGAGAUUGGAAGAUAAUUGAGGAAUUCUCGGUUAAUAAGGCAACAGGAACAUAUCGAUCAACAACUCAUUCCUACAGAAUCAAUUUCCACUACGCUACUGUCUUUUCUCCCUCACCAUCCAUUUCUAAUGAGGUUUGGCUUGACUUAGUUGAUUUUACAACUAUUCUGUCUGGUAACUUGGAUCAAAAUAAGUUGGUAGGUGAGUAUUUUUUAUAAUUAUUUAUUUUGUAUUUAAAUAUUACGUUAAUCAUUGGGAUAUAUAUUUACAUCUAUGAUUCUGUUUUAGAUGUUCUGGGUCAAUUGGUUAACGUUGGAGAAGCUCAAAUAAUUGAUGUCCAUGGUAAACCUACCAAGAAGAUUGAUUUUCAGCUAAGAGACACUGAGUAAGCAUUUUUGUUUUUUUUUUUACAUAAUUUUAUUAAACCUUUUCUUCUGAUUUAUUAUCUUGGUUUUUUAAUUCUAUAAUUUUUCUUUGGUUAGUGAUAACCGUCUACCAUGUUCACUAUGGGGAAAGUUUGCUGACCAAAUUAGCAAAGUUGCGCAAGAGUCUCUUGGUUCUGUCGUUAUUUGUUUGAUAAGGUGGGCCAAGUUAGGAGAAUACAAAGGUAUGUAAUGUUAUUAUUGGUGAAUAACAUGACCCUAUAUAAAACCACACCAUCAUAUAUUUAUCGUUGUUUGCCAUUAUGACUUGCAGAGAUUAGGAGUAUUUCUAAUGCUUUUGAUGCUUCGGAUGUUUUAGUCAACCCAAUUUUGCCGGUUGUUGAUGACUUUAGGAGAAUGUGAGUAAUCUACAAACUUUUACAUACUUUUGUUUUUGUAAUAGAUUAAAAUUUUGCUUUUAAUCUUUAAUUUGUUGUGGUUCAGGCUUCCAUCUGAUGGACUUGCCUUGACUAUCAUGGGACCUAAGCCUAGAUUCGAGCCUCUAAAGGUGCGUGAACAGAGGUCCCUAGGGUUACCUCUCAAGACUAUUGCCGAGCUUAAGGCCUCUUAUGAGGUAUUUGCUACAGCUUUAAUAUAGGCAAUAUUCUAACUGUAUUUGGGAAUUAUAUUAAAUCUUCACUCACCCUACAUUAUUUUUCUAGAUUGAGAAGGUUAAGAUCUUCUGCACCAUUUUGCAAAUUGACUUGGACUACUCCUGGUAUUACUAUGCACACAUCAAAUGUAACAAAAAAGUCUUCCAAACUAAGAAACUUCUUAGCGAUGGUGCCAAGAAGAUAUUGAACAGAUGUGAGAAAUGUAAUGCAGAAGUUUCUGCAGUUGAAGCAAGGUCAUUGCUUUAAACCUACCUUAAAUUACAGAUUUGUCUUCGUGAUUAAUAAGAUAUAUUCUCACAAUUUUUAUAUCUGUCUUAGGUACUGGCUCCACCUAGACGUUAUGGACAACACGGGGGAGACCAAGCUUAUGUUGUUUGAUAGUUUUGUUGAGAAAAUAAUCGGAACUCCUGCUUAUGAACUCUUGGAGGGCACUGAUGAAGCGGUAAUAUGUAAUCAUAUGAAUUUAGCUCCAUUCUUUUCUUGCUAGAUUAUAAUCUUAUACCUAUACUUUAUACAGGAACUUGAUGAUCCUCUUCCACCUCCUGAUGUAGUUAAAAACAUCAUUGGAAAGACUUAUCAAUUUGUGGUAAGUGUUGAGCAAGAAAACAUCUCAAGAGGAAAUGAUGAAUACAAAGUGACUGAGGUUUUAACAAGUCAGAACCUCAAUCAAGCUGACCCUAAAGAUGAAUGUAAUUAUUCUUUGGAUCUUUCAUCCAUGAGUUCCAGUGACCAGGUAAUACAUUUUCCUAAUUUGAGUGUGUUUUAUAUUAUGUGGUAAUGUUUAUUGUGAGUUACUCGCCUAAUUAAAAACGAAAUAUGUUUUAGGUUUUGAUGCUGACUAAUAAUUCUGAUAAGGAGGGCACUUCCAAUGAUGUUUUUUCUACCCCCUCUUCAAAGAGAAAAGAAGAUUUCUCGGAUGGAUCUGAUCAAAACUCCACAAGCAAGAAACAAUGCAUGGAAAAACAAUCCGAUGUUAAAGUUGAUGGUGUCAUUGAUGUAGAAAAUCCGAAGGAACAUGAUCUUCCUAAGUUCAUAAACAAACUUGAUGAGGCAGGUGAACAAGUCAUCACCAAAGCAAGUGAAGAAGAACAGAAAAAGGUUCUUUUGAAGAAGAUUAAGGUUGAGAAGAUCGAAGGUCAGAAUGGAGCAAAGUGAGGGAGCCAAGACUCAACAAUUUAGAAUAAAGUUCAUCUGAUGAAUUUAGGUUUUAUUUUAUGUUAGUUAUCUUUUCAAACAUUGUUUCCCCUUGCUUUCAUUUCUAUCUAAGCUUUCAAAAAUAAGUACCUUCAUUGAGUAAAUUUAAGAUCUAAUAGCUUUUGAACCAAGCCAUAUUCAUAUGCUGUCUCCGGUAUAUCUAACAAGAGAGAAAUCUUAUUGAUUCUACUUUAUAAACUAUCCAUAAUCCUAAAACCAUUAUAACUGAAAAUAAAGUAUAGCAUGAUUACUUUAACGGGACUUACUUAUUUUAAUGGCUUUUUCCAGACUGAUCUUUAUCCAAUUUGUUGUAACUGCUUUAGCAUAAUCCU